UUCGGAGGAUGCGAGCGUUAUCCGGAUUUAUUGGGUUUAAAGGGUGCGUAGGCGGAUCGUUAAGUCAGUGGUCAAAUUGAGGGGCUCAACCCCUUCCCGCCAUUGAAACUGGCGAUCUUGAGUGGAAGAGAAGUAUGCGGAAUGCGUGGUGUAGCGGUGAAAUGCAUAGAUAUCACGCAGAACCCCGAUUGCGAAGGCAGCAUGCCGGCUUCCGACUGACGCUGAAGCACGAAAGCGUGGGGAUCGAACAGG
rnacentral:rRNA from 1 species